rnacentral:rRNA from 1 species
AUUGAACGCUGGCGGCAGGCUUAACACAUGCAAGUCGAGCGGGGUGAUGGUGCUUGCACUAUCACUUAGCGGCGGACGGGUGAGUAAUGCUUAGGAAUCUGCCUAUUAGUGGGGGACAACAUUUCUAAAGGGAUGCUAAUACCGCAUACGUCCUACGGGAGAUAGCAGGGGAUCAUUUGUGACCUUGCGCUAAUAGAUGAGCCUAAGGCGGAUUAGCUAUUUGGUGGGGUAAAGGCCUACCAAGGAGACGAUCUGUAGCGGGUCUGAGAGGAUGAGCCGCCACACUGGGACGGGGACACGGGCCAGACUGCAUCGGGAGGGAGCAGUGGGAAAGGUUGGACAGUGGUGGGAUUCAUGGAUCAGCCACGCCGCGUGUGUGAAGAAGGCGUUAUGGUUGGAAAGGACUGUAAGUGAGGAGGAGGCUCUUUUGGUUAAUACCCAAGAUGAGUGGAGGUUACCCGUAUAAUAAUCACCGGCUAACUCUGUGCCAGCCGCCGCCGUAA